GGCACUUUGGCCGAGCGGUCUAAGGCGCCGUGUUCAGGUUCUUUGUUGGAAUCCUUUCGCGGUCUAGAAAUAGGCGUGGGUUCGAAUCCCACAGGUGUCA
rnacentral:tRNA from 1 species